UUACUUACCUGGUAGGGGAGAUACCGUGAUCACAAAGGUAGUUUUCCCAGGGUGAGGGUUACUCAUUGCACUCUGGACACGCUGACCCCUGCGAUUUCCCCAAAUGUGGGAAACUCAACUACAUAAUUUGUGGUGGGGGACUGUGUUCAUGCUCUCCUCUC
ensembl:snRNA U1 U1 spliceosomal RNA